GGUAUCUCGCUGGCCCGAGCGGACUUGAUUGAACCACGGACACCACGGGGCAGAGCUGGAGGAAGUUGUGCUGGGUGCCCUGCGCGGCGCCCGCGGGGAGAGACUUUUCCUGUGUUUUUCAGUGGUUUCAGCUUAUGGCUGUGUCAGGACUUUUUAUACAUUGAAUAACGGAGCUUUGUGAUCGAGCUCAGAGCCGAGAUCAAACAUGGGAGGUUUCAGCCUAAAAGAAGAAAGUUAUGAGCGAGUGAAAGAAUGUACCUGUUGGACAAUCAGAGGAGCUACCUCAUUCCUCUGGACUCCAAAUCAGAAUUCAACGUAUAUAUUUUAUAAUUAAACACUUUAUACAUUGUUUAAAGGAUAACACCUGUGUACUAACAGUAUGUUACAUGUUAACCUGAAACCACGGGUGGAGACAUUAUGUAAUCUUUAGACUAUUGGCUUACUGUGCUUAUCUUGUCUUGCUACUAGACCUAUCCAGGGGCUCAGGACCUCUCACCCCGUCACUUCCCUCCGCCCAUGGAUAUUUCAUAUAAUCUAUUCUAAUCAAUGGCUUGGCAGUGUCUCUGAGCCUAAUAAGCAAAGUGACACUCCGCCAGCACUGUGUGUAAUAAACCCAUGUCCUUAAUUCUACACGGUGUCCAUUUUGUUCCUUCACUUAUGCUAUGUUUUCUGGGAGGGAAUAUUUGAAGUAGAGCCUAUUGUUUAGGAGAUCUGACUCUCAGACUGUUAAAGGUGAAAUAAAUUAACUGAAAUGGGCCAUCUGGCCUACCAAGGGUCAUUCCCCUUCUGAUCUUUCAAAUUUCUUAUCUUGUAAUCCCCUAUCUCUUUUGGGGGGAAAGAGUUGAGUCUUCUGCUGAGAGCAGAUGACAGACUAUAUUAGGACCUAUAACAUCCACAGACUAAACUUCUGUAUGAAAGAUGCAACUAUUUGCUCCAUUUUAUCCAAAUUAAGUGUGACCCUUAGCUGAAUUAGGUGGGUAAAACUCCAUCUGGCACUGGCUUCUUGAAUUUUUUGGCCCUGAUUUUCUUUAAACCCUUAAUUGAUAUUUAUCUGGUCUUGGCUCACAUUGAUCUAACUUUCAUGUAUGUAAUGAGUCCCUUGUUGAUGCUGUCAACUAGGAAACUGAAUGCAUAAUUAAAUAUAAAAGGCUAGUUUUCUGAAUUCUUUCUUGCAAAUAUAUUGAAAUUCUUCUUCGAGUGCUGGUCCCAAUGUGUAUUCUACACAUGGGUGCACAUGUGUGCCAUGCACCUGAGUCCAGAAAUUCUAACAAGCAGUGUCCAUUGGCCUGCACAGGUGCAGUAGUUCUGCUCAUGCUUCAGACUGACAGCAUAGGAAGCUGUAUGAGCUGACAUCUCAUCUAUUCCUUCUUACUGCUGCAUGGCCUGAGUUGGUAUCUGUGUCCACAAAUUUCUCCAGCUUUUUAUCAUUGAGCUCUGUAAAAAAAAA